rnacentral:rRNA from 1 species
GCAGUCGAACGGCAGCACGGGAGCAAUCCUGGUGGCGAGUGGCGAACGGGUGAGUAAUGUAUCGGAACGUGCCCAGUCGUGGGGGAUAACGCAGCGAAAGCUGUGCUAAUACCGCAUACGAUCUAUGGAUGAAAGCGGGGGAUCGCAAGACCUCGCGCGAUUGGAGCGGCCGAUAUCAGAUUAGGUAGUUGGUGAGGUAAAGGCUCACCAAGCCGACGAUCUGUAGCUGGUCUGAGAGGACGACCAGCCACACUGGGACUGAGACACGGCCCAAACUCUUACGGGAGGCAGCAGUGGGGAAUUUUGGACAAUGGGCGCAAGCCUGAUCCAGCAAUGCCGCGUGCAGGACGAAGGCCUUCGGGUUGUAAACUGCUUUUGUACGGAGCGAAAAGGCUCUCUCUAAUACAGGGGGCUCAUGACGGUACCGUAAGAAUAAGCACCGGCUAACUACGUGCCAGCAGCCGCGGUAAUACGUAGGGUGCAAGCGUUAAUCGGAAUUACUGGGCGUAAAGCGUGCGCAGGCGGUUAUGUAAGACAGAGGUGAAAUCCCCGGGCUCAACCUGGGAACUGCCUUUGUGACUGCAUAGCUAGAGUACGGCAGAGGGGGAUGGAAUUCCGCGUGUAGCAGUGAAAUGCGUAGAUAUGCGGAG